ACGAACGCUGGCGGCGUGCUUAGCACAUGCAAGUCGAACGGAAAGGCCCUGCUUGCAGGGUACUCGAGUGGCGAACGGGUGAGUAACACGUGGGUGAUCUGCCCUGCACUUCGGGAUAAGCCUGGGAAACUGGGUCUAAUACCGGAUAGGAGCCAUUUUUAGUGUGAUGGUUGGAAAGUUUUUUCGGUGUAGGAUGAGCUCGCGGCCUAUCAGCUUGUUGGUGGGGUAAUGGCCUACCAAGGCGGCGACGGGUAGCCGGCCUGAGAGGGUGGACGGCCACAUUGGGACUGAGAUACGGCCCAGACUCCUACGGGAGGCAGCAGUGGGGAAUAUUGCACAAUGGGCGCAAGCCUGAUGCAGCGACGCCGCGUGGGGGAUGACGGCCUUCGGGUUGUAAACUCCUUUCGCUAGGGACGAAGCUUUUGUGACGGUACCUAGAUAAGAAGCACCGGCUAACUACGUG
rnacentral:rRNA from 1 species